rnacentral:tRNA from 1 species
GGUAAAAUGGCCGAGCAGGCAUUAGACUGUAAAUCUAAAGACAGAGGUGCAUAAGUCCUCUUUUUGCCA